rnacentral:rRNA from 1 species
AGAAUCAACGCUGGCGGCGUGCCUAACACAUGCAAGUCGCACGAGAAAGGGGAGCAAUCCCUGAGUACAGUGGCGCACGGGUGAGUAACACGUGAAUAAUCUACCUCCGAGUGGGGAAUAAACUGAGAGAAAUCUUAGCUAAUACCGCAUAACACUUACGAGUCAAAGCAGCAAUGCGCUUGGAGAGGAGUUCGCGGGCCGAUUAGUUAGUUGGCGGGGUAAUGGCCCACCAAGACGAUGAUCGGUA